rnacentral:lncRNA from 1 species
GAAUGGGCUUUUGGCUUGGAGGUUUACCCCUUCCAGGUGGCAUGGUACAAUGAACUCCUGCCUCCAGCCUUCCACCUGCCACUGCCAGGACCUACCCUGGCCUUCUUGGUACUCAGCACACUGGCCAUGUUUGACCAGGCCUUAAGCCCUUCUUGCAGAGCCACCACCUCCAACCACUAACUGACCCUGUGGAUCAGUGUGUGGCCUACCACCUGAGACGUGUUAGACAGAGCCUCCCAGAGCUGCAGAUGGAAGUCAUUGCUGACUACGAGGUAUACCCCAACGGGUGCCCUAAGAUUCUGGCCCAGACAGCAGCCCAUGUGGCAGGAGCUGCUUAUUACUACCAACGCCAAGAUGUGGAAGCUGACCCAUGGGGAACUCAGCACAUAGCAGGUGUGUGCAUACACCCCCGAUUUGGG